UUCCCAUCUUGAUGGCUCGAAGCCACUCACCCACAGAGCCGAAAGCUGAGUAGUGAGGCUGCCUCUGAUCCAGGAGUGGACGUGCUGUAUCAAAGUCUUGGAUACAAAGAUCAACUCUACUCUGUGCCACCCUCAAGGACAACAGCGAUUAGCUCUUUGGGGACCCCACUCCCCAACCCAUAUCCCAGGCGAGAGAACAUUUCAGGUCCCCCAGCCUCACCAGAGAGCUCGUGUAGGUGGGGUCAGAAGAGUUCUCCUCCAGGAAGCGGGAAAGCCCGAAGUCGGAAACCUUGCAGACAAGGUUGCUGUUGACCAGGAUGUUACGGGCAGCCAGGUCUCGGUGGACGUAGCUCAUCUCAGCCAGGUACCGCAUGCCUGAGGCGAUGCCCCGCAACAUGCCCACCAGCUGGAUGACGGUGAACUGCCCGUCGUUCAGCUGGAGACCAGACGAGGGAGAGGGCACCAUCAGGCCAGCGCACCUGCCAUCCCCCCCUUCCUUCCGCUGACCUCCCAGGUGCAGAUGCACUUGUGCUGACCCAAAGAAAGCUUGCUCAGCCCUCUUGGACCAGCUGUGUGUAGCCUGCAACACGGCAGUGAAAAACUGGGUGCGAUCAAUGAACACGGCGCCAAAGCCAAGACCUAAAGCCUGACCUUGACCUUUACAGAGUCUGCUCUCACCGGAUCAGCCCAACAGUUACAGUGGACAAAUCCCAUCCUCUGGAUUCAGCAAGCACGCAGGGGACCCUUGGCAGCCAUGCAGGGCCAGGGCCAGAGUCCAAACCCUGAAUUCUGAACCCUCCUCUAAGCCUGCCCCUGUCCCACACCUCAAAACUCAGCUUGCAGAAACGCCGCUGGCCAGAUGCUCGGGGCAGACGCCAGGGUUCUCUGCGAUUCCUCUCUUCCUCACCUGCCACUUACAAUCCAUCAGCGGGUUCUGCUGGCCCUGCCUCCAAACCACGUCCCGAAUCCAGCCACUUCUCCCCAUCCUGCUGCAACUGCCGGGCCCCAAAGGAUUGCGAGUCUCCCCACUGGCUCUUGGCUCUUGCCCCCCAGCACGCCAAAGGGAGCUCCUCAAAUCACCUCUCUUGCCGAAAUCCCUCCAAAGGCUUCCCUUUGUACUUCUAAUCAAAUCCAAACUCCUUACUAAGGCCAUGAGGCCCACGUGCUUCUCCUCCAUCUGCUCCUGGCUGGCUCUCUCUCAUCUACCCAAAUGUCAGCCCAAAUGUCCUCUCUUCUUCUUCUUCUUCUUUUUUAAAUGGAAUCUCUACACCCAACGUGGAGCUUGAACUCACAACCUCGAGAUCAAGAGUCGCAUGCUCCACCGACUGAGCCAGCCGGGCACCCCAAAUGUCAUCUCUUCUAAAAUAGACCCUCCCUCCCUCUCUUGGCAACCAGACCUUUGUACGGUACCAAGGAACAGAAGCCUGUGUCCACAAGGAAGGGUCAGGCCGCCAUCACACUACCCCAAGGCCUGCCUCAGCAUCUCUCCUGAUGAGAGCCAGAGAGCCUGUCUCUGGAUGGGGUGUCAUGUGAGGUACACAGCACCCCCGAUGGAGGCUGGCCACACAUAUUUACUUUUGAACUUAUCAGAACAUUAAAUCUAUCUUCUCUUAAAGGAAGUGGAGAAACAAUGACCCCAUAGGGAAGAAGCUGAUAAAUCCAGCAGGUGAGACAUUCAAAGGAAUAAGAGGCCCAGCUUUUCAGAAUGUCAGUGUGUCACAACAAAGAACGGUCCUGGAUUUAGAAGAGGCUCAAAAAAAUAACCACCAGG